rnacentral:rRNA from 1 species
AGCAGCCGCGGUAAUUCCAGCUCCAAUAGCGUAUAUUAAAGUUGUUGCAGUUAAAAAGCUCGUAGUUGAAUUUUAGGCCUGGCCGGGCGGUCCGUCUUUGGCGAGUACUGUCCUGUGUCGGGUCUUCCUUCUGGUGAACCAGUAUGUCCUUUAUUGGGUGUGCCGGGGAGCCAGGACCAUUACCUUGAAAAAAUUAGAGUGUUUAAAGCGGGCUAUUGCUUGAAUAGAUUAGCAUGGAAUAAUAGAAUAGGACGUUGUGGUUCUAUUUUGUUGGUUUCUAGGACCACCGUAAUGAUUAAUAGGGACAGUUGGGGGCAUUAGUAUUCAAUUGUCAGAGGUGAAAAUUCUUGGAUUUAUUGAAGACUAACUAUUGCGAAAGCAUUUGCCAAGGAUGUUUUCAUUAAUCAAGAACGAAAGUUAGGGGAUCGAAGACGAUCAGAUACGUCGUAGUCUUAACUAUAAACUAUGCCGACUAGGAAUCGGGCGACGUUAUUUCAUGACUCGCUCGGCGCCUUAUGGG